rnacentral:snRNA from 1 species
AUACUUACCUGGCAGGGGAGAUACUAUGAUCACGAAGGUGGUUUUCCCAGGGCGAGGCUUAUCCAUUGCACUCCGGAUGUGCUGACCCCUGCGAUUUCCCCAAAUGUGGGAAACUCGACUGCAUAAUUUGUGGUAGUGGGGGACUGCGUUCGCGCAAGA